rnacentral:tRNA from 1 species
GAUAAAGUGGCUGAAUUUAUAGGUAAUAGAUUGUAAAUUUAUUUAUAGGGUUAUACCCUCUUUAUCA